rnacentral:rRNA from 1 species
CCUACGGGGGGCAGCAGUGGGGAAUAUUGGACAAUGGGGGCAACCCUGAUCCAGCCAUGCCGCGUGUGUGAAGAAGGCCCUCGGGUUGUAAAGCACUUUCAGUGAGGAAGAACGCCUGGUGGUUAAUACCCAUCAGGAAAGACAUCACUCACAGAAGAAGCACCGGCUAACUCCGUGCCAGCAACCGCGGUAAUACGGAGGGUGCGAGCGUUAAUCGGAAUUACUGGGCGUAAAGCGCGCGUAGGUGGCUUGAUAAGCCGGUUGUGAAAGCCCCGGGCUCAACCUGGGAACGGCAUCCGGAACUGUCAAGCUAGAGUGCAGGAGAGGAAGGUAGAAUUCCCGGUGUAGCGGUGAAAUGCGUAGAGAUCGGGAGGAAUACCAGUGGCGAAGGCGGCCUUCUGGACUGACACUGACACUGAGGUGCGAAAGCGUGGGUAGCAAACAGGAUUAGAAACCCCAGUAGUC